GUGUUUUGGUUUGUGUACAACCUGCGCGUGAUUCCCGGCGCAUGACAUACGUCACAACCAAACGUUAGCGAUUGGUUAUGGCAGAUCCAGAGUGGCACUGGGCAGAUCCAAUCAUUUUAAACUUCAACAGACACCCGCCUUCAAGUGAGUUAACGUUUGUCAAUUGAUUAGGUCCAGACUCUCUGUACAAAUGAAAUUAAAUGAAGUGAAGUACGAGAGUCUGGUAGAACCAGGCUAGGUCUGGACCUGCUGUAUGUAAUUUGGUUUUCUGGGGCCGCCACAGCGGCGCCCAAUCAGCGAACAGAGGGCGUGUCUGAGAACAAUGACGAUAAAGUCGUGCGCCAGUUUGAGUUGUUGUUGUAGGUCGGUAGUCAGAAGGCAAUGGAGAACGAUGUGAGCGAAGCUAUUCGGUCUGUUGUGGCAACGCUGCCGAAUAUUGAGAAGUUAAAGCCGGAGCAAGAACAAGCUUUGUUGAGUUUUGUUGGUGGCCAUGAUGUGGUGGCGCUUCUCCCCACGGGGUUCAGGAAAAGUUUGAUUUUCCAGCUGGCUCCGUUAUUGGUGAAGGAGUUGGGUAAGGCGAAUGCUGGCGAUGCUAAGCCGAUAGUUAUUGUAGUCUCCCCUCUCGUUGCACUAAUGGAGGACCAAGUGAAGGAGGCAGAACAGUUGGGAGUUCGUGCUGGGCAGCUCGGCGUGCAUGAUGACCGUGACAUUUUGGAUGGAAGCUUGAGUCUGGUGUUCGGCAGCCCCGAGUCCUGGCUGCUGAACAACAAAUGGUGACGAAUGCUAGCCUCAACCAUAUACCAGGACAACCUCAUUGGUAUCGUCGUAGAUGAGGUCCACGUUACGUACAAAUGGGGCGAGGCUUCCAAAGGCGAGUCGGCAUUCCGAGAGAGUUUUGCCAAGCUCGGAGAGCUAAGAUCUAUAGCCAAGGAGGGCUGACACACCUGCAGCAAAUUUGAGAUCCCCACGCCCAAUUACCAGCCUGCUGCAUAAAGCCAGCAAGUCAGUUGCUUGAGGAGAACAGACCCGGCAACACCUUUGUGCGAGUUUGUCCCACAGUGCGAGUUGUUAAAUAGCCUUUUCUUUCUGUAAUCUUUGAUCUAGGCCUGGGGAUGGCCGGCGGUCCUACUUUUCCGUUUAGUUCUUAGUUUAUGAUUUGGUUUGGUCAGGCAGGGAGGGGGGCCAGCCUCGACGUCCCUAUAGGGGGUGGCCUGGUCCCCCCUCCAUUUUGCUGAGUUUGUCCGGCAUCCUCAGGUCCCUUUUGGUUUGCAGUCUUCUUUAUUUGGUAAAGUAUUCAUACUGCAUUUCAGCUAUGGUUUCAUUUGGUUAAUAAAACCCGUUAAAACAUCUUAUUUCAUGGUGUCCUUCCUUUAUGUUGGGGUCUCCAAUUCGAGCCACUGGGUAUCUUAUUCAGUUAUGUGGAGGCCGUAACAUAAUGGGGGCUCGUCCGAA